AUGGAGGAGGAGGAGGUCGCGGUGGCCGUCGCGUCCCAUCGGUGGGGUUGGAGAACGUCCUGGGAGCGCCCGUGGGUUUUCUGGAGGUGGUUUGGGGUCCAUCUGCAGUUUCUGGGCCCGUCUGGGGGUCCAUCAACAAUUCCAGGAGCCAUCUUGGUGUCCAUCAACAAUUCCAGGAGCCAUCUUGGUGUCCAUCAGCAAUUCCAGGAGCCAUCUUGGUGUCCAUCAACAAUUCCAGGAACCAUCUUGGUGUCCAUCAUCAAUUCCAGGAGCCAUCUUGGUGUCCAUCUUCUCCUGAUCCUCCUGGGUCCAUCCUGGUGUCCAUCAACAAUUCCAGGAGCCAUCUUGGUGUCCAUCUUCUCCUGAUCCUUCUGGGUCCAUCAACAAUUCCAGGAGCCAUCUCUGUGUCCAUCAACAAGUCCAGGGGCCAUCUUGGUAUCCAUCAUCUGCAGCUUCAGGACCUAUCUUGGUGUCCAUCAUCAAUUCCAUGGCCCAUCUUGGUGUCCAUCUUCUCCUGAUCCUUCUGGGUCCAUCCUGGUGUCCAUCAUCGUCUCCUGCUUCUCCUGAGCCCAUCUUGGUGUCCGCCAUCCCUCCUGGGCCUACCUUGAGGUUCAACAUCUCCUGGGCCCACCUUGGUGUCCAUCAUCUCUUCUUGACCCUACUGGACCCACCUUGGUGACCCCAGAUCUCCACCAGGUCCCACCUCGGCAUCCCCAGUGUCCACCAGGACUCACUUUGGUGUCCACCAGGUCCCGCUUUGAUGCUCCCAAAUCUCCACCUGGACUCACCAUGGGACCUCCAAUCUCCACCAGGCGCCACCUUGGUGCCCACCCAGGCUCUUCCAGGCCCCACCUUGGUGGCCCCCAAUCUCCACCAGGUCCCACCUUGGUGCCCUCAGUUUCCUCCAGGUCCACCAAGAGCCACCUUGGUGCCCCCAAAUCUCCUCCAGGACCCAACUUGGUGCCCCCA